rnacentral:rRNA from 1 species
AAGCAUUGUUUCUUAAUCUGAGUAUAUCAAUAUUACCUUGUUCAGAACUUAAAGAGAAAUCUUGAGUUUAUGGACUUCAGGGGGAGUAUGGUCACAAGGCUGAAACUUAAAGGAAUUGACGGAAGGGCACACCAGGAGUGGAGCCUGCGGCUUAAUUUGACUCAACACGGGAAAACUUACCAAGACCGAACAGUAGAAGGAAUGACAGAUUAAGAGUUCUUUCAUGAUUUAUUGGGUAGUGGUGCAUGGCCGUUCUUAGUUGGUGGAGUGAUUUGUCAGGUUAAUUCCGGUAACGAACGAGACUGAAACCUAUUAAUUAGUUUUCUGCCUAUAAGACAGAAAUGUUCGCAAGAACAGGUGCGUAAGUACCACUUCUUAAAGGGACACAUUUCAAUUGUCCUAUUUUAAUUGUAGUUAU